rnacentral:rRNA from 1 species
CCUACGGGAGGCAGCAGUGGGGAAUAUUGCACAAUGGGGGAAACCCUGAUGCAGCGACGCCGCGUGAGUGAAGAAGUAUUUCGGUACGUAAAGCUCUAUCAGCAGGGAAGAAAAUGACGGUACCUGACUAAGAAGCCCCGGCUAACUACGUGCCAGCAGCCGCGGUAAUACGUAGGGGGCAAGCGUUAUCCGGAUUUACUGGGUGUAAAGGGAGCGUAGACGGCAGCACAAGUCUGGAGUGAAAUCCCAUGGCUUAACCAUGGAACUGCUUUGGAAACUGUGCAGCUAGAGUGCAGGAGAGGUAAGCGGAAUUCCUAGUGUAGCGGUGAAAUGCGUAGAUAUUAGGAGGAACACCAGUGGCGAAGGCGGCUUACUGGACUGUAACUGACGUUGAGGCUCGAAAGCGUGGGGAGCAAACAGGAUUAGAUACCCGGGUAGUC